rnacentral:rRNA from 1 species
CACGUAGGGACCAAGCGUUGUCCGGAUUUAUUGGGCGUAAAGAGCUCGUAGGCGGUCGUGUAAGUCGGGUGUGAAAUCUCCAGGCUCAACUUGGAGGGGCCACCCGAUACUGCUCGACUUGAGUCCGGUAGGGGAGUGGGGAAUUCCUGGUGUAGCGGUGAAAUGCGCAGAUAUCAGGAGGAACACCGGUGGCGAAGGCGCCACUCUGGGCCGGUACUGACGCUGAGGAGCGAAAGCGUGGGUAGCAAACAGG